GGGGAUGACAGGCUUCGACGGGAGAGGCUGGCCCCGGAUUGCGAGCCGAGAGGUGCCGACCUCGUAAAAUCAGCACAAAACAUUAAGUGCCAACCGCACUUCCUACGCUGCUAUGCCCCUCGCCGCCUAGGCGAUGAGCUAGCGCAUGGCCCCUCGAUGGGCCACGUCUGCCCGCUGCCGCGCUCUGACCGGCGCGGAGCAGGCGAAACAAUGCCAGAGUGCCGCGCGGAAUGCCGCAAUCCGCGCAUAAGCAGGGCUUUCGGGCCCGAGUGGCUGGCUACCGGCGGGGACUGUUACCCCACCUGCCGCAUGCGAGAUUAACGGAGUGACUACGCUCGUAGUAUAUUCGAGGGUCGAUUCUUUCGGACGCGGGUUCGAUUCCCGCCAUCUCCACUG
rnacentral:tmRNA from 1 species